UCAGUGUAGACAAGGGAUAUUGAUUUGAAUGUUGCAAGGAGGAAGGCGUGGAAGUGUCGUGUUGGAACUGCGUACCUUGCAACGGCUAUGUCUGCGUUUAAUUUUACCAAUUAUUAAACGUGUUCUGUUUUUAGAUUGCCGCUGUAUCAUAACUCAUGGUGUUUAUUAUAUGAACAUAUUUAACCAUACUUAUCGGGCAAUGAUGGAAAUACACCGCGGGCUCCUCUACGUUUGUGUAGUUGCCCCUGGGCCCAACUUUCUGACAAAUCAUCUGGAUCAAUGUCUUUGAGAGGAAGAACAGCUGCAAAAAGAAUCAUCUGCACUUUAAUUGGAAAUAAUAAUAAUAAUAAAAAAGAUAGAUGCCUCACUACAUAUAAAGCAAAUAAAGAAAAGUUUUUUAGAAAUGAGGUGAGAACCCUGUUGUCCAGAAGACAUCCCCUAAUAUUUAAAGAUGUAUCAGUUAAUCUCAGAAACUGAAUCAGUAUUAAGGCUUGAAAAGCAGACUUUAUUUUAAAGGCACGUUUUAAUAGUAGCAGAUGGUACAGUUUUCUUUGUUUCUUGUAUGACAUUUAUUUUUCUGCAUUUAUUUCAUGGGACUGUUAGGCUUCAGAUAGAGUAGGUUUUCUACAAAUUGUUGAGAAGAAUAUAAAUGGCAGGAAGCUACUGCACAAAGUAAUUUAGACUAGUUGUAAUAAAAUGUCAAUAUUGUUAGCAUUAACCAAGAACAAUUGCAACAGAACAAUGAAUAUAGCAGAGAGCAGACACAAUCUAUUAACAACCAUCCUAAAAUAUGGAACUCCCUCAUAAUAUCCAAGCUACUAACACUGUACCCUUUCAAACUGGGCAUUGAUUUUAAGCUGAAUGCUAUUAUCACCAUUAAAAUGAUGCCCUUAUCAUCAACCUCUUUGAAUAAACUCCAGAGGAUUUGUGAUUUUAUACCACUAGAAACUCAGACUAGAAUUCCUGUGCACGUUUCACAUUAGAAACAACAAAACAAUCUCUCGUGAUUAUUUGGUAUGACCUGGGUUUUUAUUUUCUGUUGUAUAUGGUUCCAUUUGCACAAGCAAACUAAAUCCCAGUAUCUGUAGAUGAAAGCAUUACCAUGAUAUGAAAGCAAAAAGGAGGUGCACAGAGAGAGGUUGUGGAAGACUUGCAUAAAAUGUUCAGAAUUCUUGAAAACAUUUCAUGUUUUGAAAAUCAAAGAUAUGCUAGAUUUGUGGGGGGGGGUUUUCCAAAGGCAUAUUUUCUUUUGUUUUUCCUGAGGCUUUCUAAUUUGGCACUUUGGGAUUAUCCAUUUUUAAUUUAAAAAGAACAAAAACAAUCUGAUAAGGCAGGGGGCCAGUGCAGUCUGUCACUGUAUAAGCUUGAUCAAGUACAUAUAAACAACGUAAAAAC